UCCAGGCCCUACGGGGCGCAGCAGGCGCGCCAACUUUACAAUGCGAGCAAUCGUGAUAAGGAAACCCUGAGUGCCUGUUGAUGCAGGCUGUUCAUCUGUUUAAAUCGCAGGUGAAGAAAGGGCAGGGCAAGACCGGUGCCAGCCGCCGCGGUAAUACCGGCUGCUCGAGUGAUGGCCACUAUUACUGGGUUUAAAGCGUCCGUAGCUUGACUGAUAGGUCUCUUGGGAAAUCUUAACGCUCAACGUUAAGGCGUCUAAGAGAUACCGUCAGUCUCGGAACUGGGAGAGGUAAACCGUACUUCGGGGGUAGGAGUGAAAUCUUGUAAUCCUCGAGGGACGACCUAUGGCGAAGGCAGUUUACCAGAACAGCUUCGACAGUGAGGGACGAAAGCUGGGGGAGCAAACGGGAUUAGAUACCCCGGUAGUCCCAGCCGUAAACAAUGUGCGUUAGGUGUAUCGGCAACCACGCGUUUACUGAUGCGCCGCAGAGAAAUCGUGAAACGCACCACCUGGGAAGUACGGUCGCAAGGCUGAAGCUUAAAGGAAUUGGCGGGGGAGCACCACAACAGGUGGAGCCUGCGGUUUAAUUGGAUUCAACGCCGGACAUCUCACCGGGUAAGACAGCUGAAUGACUGUCAAUCUGAAGGUUUUACACGACUAGCUGAGAGGAGGUGCAUGGCCGUCGUCAGUUCGUACUGUGAAGCAUCCUGUUAAGUCAGGCAACGAGCGAGACCCACGCCAACAAUUGCCAGCAUCGUCUCCGGAUGGAUGGGGACAUUGUUGGGACCGCCUCUGCUAAAGGGGAG
rnacentral:rRNA from 1 species